UGAAAGCGAUGAAAACGGGGAAGGGGAGAGGACUGGCGCAAAAGCUUUAACACUGGAGCGUGAACGAAACUGUCAAUUAGACCCAGAUCUGCAUUGGCAAAUUCAAGACGUUUUGCUUUAAGUUGAGGACGAGGGGGGACAGUCAGACGUGCAGGAAACGUAAAACCGGUUUGAACAGAGGACUGUGCUUGCAUGAAUCGGAGUGACUGAUCACACGUUGGAGCUCGGGGAUGAAUCAUGAGUGAACACCAGUGCGCUGUAUGUGGCACAGGGAAACAAGCGUGCGCUCCCUCUUACACCUGACCCACAUCAGACCAGAUGCACAUGAAUCAACCCGAGAACUGUAACAAACUGAGGAGGAUGCGUGGAGGUGAGAUGCAGGUGGGGAUGGAGCCAUGCGCCUCCGAAACGCGGCUUGGGCAAAGGUGUGAAGGGUUAUGCGGAGCCCCAGGUGUCUGAGACGGGCCUGAUAAUUACCUGCAUGGCAGGCUGCUAUUUCUACACAGGUGGGUGGGCUGCUGCAUGUCUGCAGCAGAGGCUGGUGGAGCCCUUCAUUAGAUGGUCCAAUGACGCUCUACCGGGUGCACUUUCACUCACUGGUUUGCUGGGGUGGAUGCAAUUACCGAUUUCCUCAUAAUGGUUAUUCCAUCACUGCAGAACAGGAGACCACUAUAAACAAAAUGAAGUGCUAUUAUAUGCCGCUGAACAGUAAAAGCUUCACCUCAGUAUCCAUUCUCAGCAGCUAUACUGAUACACACCUACAUUUAUACCUCAAUAAACAAUUAUGCAUGCAAAAAAAAAAAAGAAAGAAAAAGAAAAAACAGUCAUGACGCAUUUUAAUUCACUUCUCGUAUUUCAAUGUUUUAUUAAUUUAAAUAAUUUAAAAUGGACACAAAAUGUCCAGCCAACAGUCUGCACAAUGACAGGAGUUUCAGAGGCACCUUUUCCAUCCAAUUUAACACAGUGCAUCAGAUGUGUGUUUCCUUGGGAAAUGUAGGCCCCGCAUGCAUUUAGAACAGAGAGAAAACCUGCCCAGGAAACCUCCCCAGUGCAACGGGUCAGGAGAUGAGUUCUAUCAAACGUGGAAGGUUUUUCCUGCAAUGUCUUCUCAGGUACCCACACGGCUGGUCGGACAGCUGGGUACGUGAGAGCACAUGCUGCAGGGGGAGCAGGGGUAGUUUCAACGAGUCACACCAAUGUAUGCUUAAUACAGAGAAUAAAUUAUUCAUUUUUUAUAGUCUGGCAGCCUACCCUGUUCCCUUAAAGCCACUGAUCUAGGUCUUCACACACAACCACAAGACAGCUGAAUAUGAACAUGUCGAUUAUAAACAACCUUUGAAAAUACUGGACAGUGAAACUAUUUUUAAAAAAAAAA